UAUAGGUGUGUUCAGAUUGGCAACAGG
rnacentral:piRNA from 1 species